rnacentral:lncRNA from 1 species
GGGUUUGAUUAAUUUUUAAUUUGAUUAGGACUUAAUUGAGAUAAUUUGUUACCUAAUUAGAUUAAGUACUUGGAUCUGAUCAAAUAGAUUUUGGUUGGAGCCAAAUAGCUAAACUUAGAGUCUAAUUGGAUUGGACUACUACCCAUGCAACACCCUUACCCAUGCCCAUGUGUUUUUCAUGCAAAUUCUAAAUUUGCAUGAAGUAUCUAUGCACGAUAUCUAAAGUUCUCAUCCAUCUCUUAAUGCCAAUUAGAUGAGGAUAAAAUUUGGUUCAAGUUGAAUUCAAAUUGGAUUUGAAUUUGACUUGAAAGUUGAUCCUUAUUUUGGUUCAAAUUCAAGUUCAAGUUUGAUCUUAUCCUCAUCUCCACGCAAACCAUAAAAAUGUAUCUGAUUUGUGCAACAAAUUAGAGGUGAAUUACUACGAGGAAAGGUUUUCUCAGAGUGGGGUGUGAAUAGAGAGGGGCGGGCCUUCUGUGUG